rnacentral:rRNA from 1 species
AGAGUUUGAUCAUGGCUCAGAUUGAACGCUGGCGGCAGGCCUAACACAUGCAAGUCGAACGGUAACAGGAAUCAGCUUGCUGAUUCGCUGACGAGUGGCGGACGGGUGAGUAAUGUCUGGGAAACUGCCUGAUGGAGGGGGAUAACUACUGGAAACGGUAGCUAAUACCGCAUAACGUCGCAAGACCAAAGAGGGGGACCUUCGGGCCUCUUGCCAUCGGAUGUGCCCAGAUGGGAUUAGCUAGUAGGUGGGGUAACGGCUCACCUAGGCGACGAUCCCUAGCUGGUCUGAGAGGAUGACCAGCCACACUGGAACUGAGACACGGUCCAGACUCCUACGGGAGGCAGCAGUGGGGAAUAUUGCACAAUGGGCGCAAGCCUGAUGCAGCCAUGCCGCGUGUAUGAAGAAGGCCUUCGGGUUGUAAAGUACUUUCAGCGGGGAGGAAGGGAGUAAAGUUAAUACCUUUGCUCAUUGACGUUACCCGCAGAAGAAGCACCGGCUAACUCCGUGCCAGCAGCCGCGGUAAUACGGAGGGUGCAAGCGUUAAUCGGAAUUACUGGGCGUAAAGCGCACGCAGGCGGUUUGUUAAGUCAGAUGUGAAAUCCCCGGGCUCAACCUGGGAACUGCAUCUGAUACUGGCAAGCUUGAGUCUCGUAGAGGGGGGUAGAAUUCCAGGUGUAGCGGUGAAAUGCGUAGAGAUCUGGAGGAAUACCGGUGGCGAAGGCGGCCCCCUGGACGAAGACUGACGCUCAGGUGCGAAAGCGUGGGGAGCAAACAGGAUUAGAUACCCUGGUAGUCCACGCCGUAAACGAUGUCGACUUGGAGGUUGUGCCCUUGAGGCGUGGCUUCCGGAGCUAACGCGUUAAGUCGACCGCCUGGGGAGUACGGCCGCAAGGUUAAAACUCAAAUGAAUUGACGGGGGCCCGCACAAGCGGUGGAGCAUGUGGUUUAAUUCGAUGCAACGCGAAGAACCUUACCUGGUCUUGACAUCCACGGAAGUUUUCAGAGAUGAGAAUGUGCCUUCGGGAACCGUGAGACAGGUGCUGCAUGGCUGUCGUCAGCUCGUGUUGUGAAAUGUUGGGUUAAGUCCCGCAACGAGCGCAACCCUUAUCCUUUGUUGCCAGCGGUCCGGCCGGGAACUCAAAGGAGACUGCCAGUGAUAAACUGGAGGAAGGUAGGGAUGACGUCAAGUCAUCAUGGCCCUUACGACCAGGGCUACACACGUGCUACAAUGGCGCAUACAAAGAGAAGCGACCUCGCGAGAGCAAGCGGACCUCAUAAAGUGCGUCGUAGUCCGGAUUGGAGUCUGCAACUCGACUCCAUGAAGUCGGAAUCGCUAGUAAUCGUGGAUCAGAAUGCCACGGUGAAUACGUUCCCGGGCCUUGUACACACCGCCCGUCACACCAUGGGAGUGGGUUGCAAAAGAAGUAGGUAGCUUAACCUUCGGGAGGGCGCUUACCACUUUGUGAUUCAUGACUGGGGUGAAGUCGUAACAAGGUAACCGUAGGGGAACCUGCGGUUGGAUCACCU